AUUGAACGCUGGCGGCAUGCCUUACACAUGCAAGUCGAACGGUAACGCGGGGCAACCUGGCGACGAGUGGCGAACGGGUGAGUAAUGCAUCGGAACGUGCCCAGUAGUGGGGGAUAGCCCGGCGAAAGCCGGAUUAAUACCGCAUACGACCUACGGGUGAAAGCGGGGGACCGUAAGGCCUCGCGCUAUUGGAGCGGCCGAUGUCAGAUUAGCUAGUUGGUGGGGUAAAGGCCUACCAAGGCGACGAUCUGUAGCUGGUCUGAGAGGACGACCAGCCACACUGGGACUGAGACACGGCCCAGACUCCUACGGGAGGCAGCAGUGGGGAAUUUUGGACAAUGGGGGCAACCCUGAUCCAGCCAUGCCGCGUGCGGGAAGAAGGCCUUCGGGUUGUAAACCGCUUUUGUCGGGGAAGAAACGGUCUGCGCUAAUACCGCGGGCUAAUGACGGUACCCGAAGAAUAAGCACCGGCUAACUACGUGCCAGCCGCCGCGGUAACAC
rnacentral:rRNA from 1 species